AAGAAAAAAAUGCUGAUAGUGAAGCAAUUAUCUAACAAUGGGCCCAAACUGGGCCCUGAUCAUGCAAAGAUUUACCUUCGUGCUUAAUUUGAGGUGGAUAAGAUGCUCAAUUGAAAUGGAAGAGGCAGUUCAAAUCAGUGUUUGCACCAUGCUGAGGUGUAAUGGUCAACUCUGUCCCAGUGAUCCCAUGGAGAAUUCACACAGAGGCCAAUGAAGUGAGGAGCCAGAGGCCAUUUCUGUUGUACUCCAUAGCAAAUCUUAACAAUGGUGAACAGUGCCCCACCGUACUGGAAAAUAGGGGUGUGGCCAGCAGGUGGACUCUUCCUAACUAAAAGGUGGGAAGCACUUUAAAAAAAAAGCUCUAUUUUUGUUUAAAGCAGACUUUUUUUAAGUGGUUCCCACCUUCCAAAUCUAUUAUCUGCAAAAUGUCAUUUUAAAUAAUGAAGCUGCCUUUCAUUAUAGGAGUGUAAAAACUGACUUCAACAAUCUAAAGUUUGUUUUGGAGGCUCAAAUAGCUGUACACUCUUAAAAGACUUACAGAAAAAUUUGUGCUGUAACUUUUAUACAAAGUAUAAAAUAAGUAAAAAAAAGUAUAAAUAAAACAAAAUAGCGAUACCAGCGGUAUAAAAUCCUGCAUAAAGGGUUCAGAAGGAACAUAUCUAUAAUUAUAAGCAGUGCUACUAGUCAUUACUAUAAUAUGCUUUUUCCAUACAUUGGAAAAUGUGUAUUGUAGCAGAUUUCUAUACCACAACUUAGUCUCUCUCCCCUUUUUCCUUCCAACAUGCCUCUAGUGACUUAAACCAUAUUAUGCAGUAGUCACUUGGCAAAUAGUAUUUUUGCCAUUUUUAGUUAUGAGAGCAAAAAUUAAAAGGAUAUGGCAAUGUUCAAUUAGCUGUAUGCUUGUAUAACUUUCUAAUGUCCAGGGUGAUUGUUUGGGAGGCAGGAGGGCAGGGAAAUGGCUUAAAAUGUGCCCCUCUUUGAGAUCUUACAUGCCAAGUUUCAUAUAGGAGAAAAUCUUUACA